rnacentral:rRNA from 1 species
GACGAACGCUGGCGGCGUGCUUAACACAUGCAAGUCGAACGGAAAGGCCCAGCUUGCUGGGUACUCGAGUGGCGAACGGGUGAGUAACACGUGGGUGAUCUGCCCCUGACUUUGGGAUAAGCCUGGGAAACUGGGUCUAAUACCGGAUAUGACCUUACAUCGCAUGGUGUUUGGUGGAAAGCUUUUGCGGUUGGGGAUGGGCCCGCGGCCUAUCAGCUUGUUGGUGGGGUAAUGGCCUACCAAGGCGACGACGGGUAGCCGACCUGAGAGGGUGAUCGGCCACACUGGGACUGAGACACGGCCCAGACUCCUACGGGAGGCAGCAGUGGGGAAUAUUGCACAAUGGGCGCAAGCCUGAUGCAGCGACGCCGCGUGAGGGAUGACGGCCUUCGGGUUGUAAACCUCUUUCACCAGGGACGAAGCGUGAGUGACGGUACCUGGAGAAGAAGCACCGGCAAACUACGUG